CUUAGUGGCGGACGGGUGAGUAACGCGUGGGUAACCUGCCCCAUACCGGGGGAUACCACCUGGAAACAGGUGCUAAUACCGCAUAAGCGCACGGGAGCGCAUGCUCCUGUGUGAAAAACUCCGGUGGUAUGGGAUGGAUCCGCGUCUGAUUAGCCAGUUGGCAGGGUAACGGCCUACCAAAGCGACGAUCAGUAGCCGGCCUGAGAGGGUGGACGGCCACAUUGGGACUGAGACACGGCCCAAACUCCUACGGAAGGCAGCAG
rnacentral:rRNA from 1 species